UACGAAGGGGGCUAGCGUUGUUCGGAAUUACUGGGCGUAAAGCACACGUAGGCGGACUAUUAAGUCAGGGGUGAAAUCCCGGGGCUCAACCCCGGAACUGCCUUUGAUACUGGUAGUCUCGAGUCCGGAAGAGGUGAGUGGAAUUCCGAGUGUAGAGGUGAAAUUCGUAGAUAUUCGGAGGAACACCAGUGGCGAAGGCGGCUCACUGGUCCGGUACUGACGCUGAGGUGCGAAAGCGUGGGGAGCAAACAGG
rnacentral:rRNA from 1 species